UGUAGGAUGGCAGCCACAGAGCCAGAACAUCCUUGCUGUGACCAGCCCAUGGUACUCAGAUGGUAACAGGCUGCUAGACCAUAAUCUCCAGUUUCUACAAGGACUCCAUUUACUCUGUCUUCACAGAUGGUAGAAACAGACAAGACUACCAUCACUCUAGGAGGAAGGCAAGCUUUGCAUCACGUGGACCAGGAGUCAGUGAAAGGUUAA